rnacentral:rRNA from 1 species
UACGAAGGGGGCUAGCGUUGCUCGGAAUUACUGGGCGUAAAGCGCGCGUAGACGGUUUUGUAAGUCAGAUGUGAAAUCCCUGGGCUCAACCUGGGAACUGCAUUUGAGACUGCAUGGCUAGAGUAUCGAAGAGGGAAGUGGAAUUUCCGGUGUAGCGGUGAAAUGCGUAGAUAUCGGAAGGAACACCAGUGGCGAAAGCGACUUCCUGGUCGAAUACUGACGUUCAUGUGCGAAAGCGUGGGGAGCAAACAGG